CCAAUCGACGCGCCUGUCAAUCAAGACUCGGCGCAGCAGCCGUGUAGUUCAGCGCUGAAGAGGGAAGGACACCAUCGAUUCAGACUCUCCGCGUUUGUUUCCCUCAGACAACAGGACAUGGCGGACAGAAGUCAUGGCAGAGCGAGGAGAGAUGCAGAGGACACUGAUGAGCUUCUUCACACUGAUCUGAAUGAAAACAGAAGUGUGUUUGGACUGGACCCUAAGCCUCUCAAACUGGACCACUGUGACCUACUCUUAGAUGCCAUCGAUGCUCAGCUUGGUCAGCUGCAGGUCCAGCCACAGAAACGUCAGGAAAUUUUCAGAAACCGUGAAUGCAGCAAUGCAGC